AGUGAACGCUGGCGGUAGGCCUAACACAUGCCAGUCGAACGGCAGCACAGUAAGAGCUUGCUCUUACGGGUGGCGAGUGGCGGACGGGUGAGGAAUACAUCGGAAUCUACUUUUUCGUGGGGGAUAACGUAGGGAAACUUACGCUAAUACCGCAUACGACCUACGGGUGAAAGCAGGGGAUCUUCGGACCUUGCGCGAUUGAAUGAGCCGAUGUCGGAUUAGCUAGUUGGCGGGGUAAGGGCCCACCAAGGCGACGAUCCGUAGCUGGUCUGAGAGGAUGAUCGGCCACACUGGAACUGAGACACGGUCCAGACUCCUACGGGAGGCAGCAGUGGGGAAUAUUGGACAAUGGGCGCAAGCCUGAUCCAGCCAUACCGCGUGGGUGAAGAAGGCCUUCGGGUUGUAAAGCCCUUUUGUUGGGAAAGAAAAGCAGCAGGUUAAUACCCCGCUGUUCUGACGGUACCCAAAGAAUAAGCACCGGCUAACUUCGUG
rnacentral:rRNA from 1 species